GAGGCCAAGAGGGGAGUGCCCCGGCUGGAG
rnacentral:sRNA from 1 species